rnacentral:rRNA from 1 species
GUGCCCUUGAGGCGUGGCUUCCGGAGUUAACGCGUUAAAUCGACCGCCUGGGGAGUACGGCCGCAAGGUUAAAACUGCAAAUGAAUUGACGGGGGCCCGCACAAGCGGUGGAGCAUGUGGUUUAAUUCGAUGCAACGCGAAGAACCUUACCUACUCUUGACAUCCAGAGAACUUAGCAGAGAUGCUUUGGUGCCUUCGGGAACUUUGAGACAGGUGCUGCAUGGCUGUCGUCAGCUCGUGUUGUGAAAUGUUGGGUUAAGUCCCGCAACGAGCGCAACCCUUAUCCUUUGGUUGCCAGCGUUUGGCCCGGGAACUAAAAGGAGAAUUCCCACUGGUUAAACCGGAGGAAGGUGGGGAUGACGUCAAGUCAUCAUGGCCCGUACGAGUAGGGCUUCACACCUGCUACAAUGGCGUAUACAAAGAGAAGCGAACCUGCGAUGGCAAGCAGUCCUCUUAAAGUUCGUUUGUAGUCCGGAUUGGAGUUUGCAACUUGACUCCAUGAAGUUGGAAUCGGUUGUAAUUGUAGAUCCUGAAGGCUACGGUUGACCUCUCGCUUCGGGCAGAUCCCCAGACAUUACUCACCCGUCCGCCGCUCGCCGGCGAGGAAGCAAGCUUCCUCCCGCUGCCGCUCGACUUGCAU